CCUCCCUCGAAUUGAUAUGAAUACGAUGCAAACAUUUAUCAAGGAUGAGUUGGCGUCGGGAUGAAGAGCCUCCACGCACCGACGGUCGUUGCGCAGCGUGUCGGCCGCGCCGCCCCACCGCGUGUCUGACUGCCUUCGCCACGGCAACAGCAGCGACGCCCGGGCCGUGCGGGCCGUGUGCCUCCUGAUGGGCGGGGCUGCGGCCUCCUCGGCGCUGGGCUACCUGAACACCUGCACCCCAACCUCGCCCCUGGCCACCCGGGCCCCUGCGAUGGUGCAAGUCUCCGGGGGCUUCGCCGAUCUCCCCGGCGGCGGCAGCCCCUUCCACGGCUGCAGCCAGGACGUGGACUCGCCGCACUUCAACAGCUUCGACUUCGAGGCCGACGCGGAUUUCGACACAUUCGACUGCGGGGGCUUUGCCUUUUGAUCCGGAGGGAAACCUAAAUAACGCACACACACGCGUGCAAAAAAAUACGACGACAGCGAAGAAGAACAGAAAUGUUUGCGCACAAAAGAAAACGCUCGCGUGAUCACAAGCUGUGCACCGUGCACAUGUUCGUUUAACUGAGGUUAAUUAAUUAUGCGUUAUCUCCACUAAUAAUUUAUUCAUUAAUCAGUUGUCGUGCACAGCGACGAGGUCAAUGAUUUAUGAUCUUGGCUGGGUCCGAAUGUUUUUAGUGGGACACGCACUCUCUUUUCUGGAUCACCAGGAGCGGCCACAGAUCAUAAAACCUGGCUGGCUACAUUUGAUGGUCCAUUCAACAGAGAGAGUUUUUGUCAUCGCUGCACAGUGCAAUCUUGCAUACAUGUGAUCAUCGUGCUGGUCUAUGUAGGCUAGAUUGCCUUUGUGCUCAGUGGGAUGAGAUCAGAUAUGGAGUUGGGGUUGGAGAGGGCCCAAGGGGUCAAAGAUCAGUGGGAAAUUACUAUAUAUACCUAUAGAUAUAUAUGGAGUAAACAUUUGAUGUUGUUCAAUAUUCUUUCUGAUGUGCAGAAUCCAGAAAUGAGUACAGCUCUCUCAAGCACAUAUAUCAAUUAUAUUAGUGUGUUAUUCAAUCUUUUGUCUGGUGCACAGUAUGCACUAGUCUGUGAUGUGUCUGUGUGUGCAUGCAUAAUGUGUGUGCAUGUGAGUGCAUUUGCGUGUGUGUAGAUAUUUACCAAGUUUAUAUUAGUGUGGUAUUCAAUACUUUGUCUGGGGUGCAGUGUGCCCUAUACUCUGCAUGUGUGUGCGUGUGAGUGCAUGCGUGCAUAUGUGUGUGGGUGUGUGUAGCUUUUUACCCAGUCACAAUUGGCCCCCAUUGCUUGGCGGUUGACCUGUUUCAUUUAAUGUCGCGCCUCCCCACCUCACAAACCAGGUCUAAGUUCACAUGGUAAAGUCCUAAAACCGGUAGUCACCAUGACUGUGCUGUCUACCUGCUGCAGUGGCACAGUGGGACAGCAUGACAGUAUUACAUGCAGUAGCACACUAAACGCAAUAGUAUAUUCAGGAGUAGAGUUGUGCACAGACUAACAUUAGUAAACAAUGUAAUACCCAGUGGCAAUAGCAACCCUUAUUGUAAGUGGAUUUGGAUAAAAGCGUCUGCUAAAUGUAAAUGUAAACCUAACACAAUAGUUCACUCAGUAGUAUAGUGUGCAGACUAAAAUUGGUAAACCAUGUAAUGCACAGUGGCAAUUGUAAACCUAACACAGUAGUACACUCAGAAGUAGAGUAGUGAGUGGAUUAACAUUAGCACAUAUGUAGGCAGUCACAAUAGUACACUUAACACAGAUUCGUUACCAUGACUGCUCCCUUCCUUCUGCGGUCGCACAGUGGGAUGGUAUACAAGCAGUAGUUCACUAAACGCAGUACACUCAGCCGUAGAGCAUAGUGUACAUACUGACAUUUGGUAACAGAGUAUUACACAGUACUACGUGGACGCUUUGGUACACACUGUCGCAGCAGUACACGUAGUUCAUACAGUAAUUUUAGAAAAAAGUUGUAUUUAUUGCGUGUGUGGGUGCUUGGCUUUGUGUGUUUAUGAGGGAAAAUUAUGAAUGAUGACUUUGGCAUGUGAUGCCCACAAAAAUGCCCCAAAAGAGCCUCAUCUCAUAAUCCACCCAUCCACCUCUAUCCUCCUUCUCUAAAACCUAAAUUAAUCUAAAUUAUGAGUGUGACAAGUGUUCUCAUUUGUUUUCAUAAUUGUAAUGUUAUGCCCUUCAUUUGUUCGUUAUAAUGAAUUUGUUCAUUGAAAUUAUGUUAGAUAAAUAAAGGUAAUUUAAUAAAGGCAAGCUAUUUAUUGUGAA
ensembl:lncRNA